AGCUUUGCACAGUGGCAGUAUCAUAGCCAAUGAUGUUUAUCAUAGGUGUGAUUGUUGCUAAUUGAAAACAUAAAGUGCCUAAAGAUGAUUAACUUUUUUCUGUGGUGCGGGGGUUUUAUGCAUGCUAGGCAAGUGCUCUACCACCAAGCUGCACCCCAGCCUAAGAAUUGAUCUUUUUAAUAUUUUUGUUUAUGAAUAGG
rnacentral:snRNA from 1 species